GGGGAACAUGCUUACAUGAUGAUAUACUACUUUAACCCAUUAAAGCGCUGGGAUUUGCGCUUACAUAGCACGGACUGCUGAGCACAUUUUAUAAAAAUGAGACUACUAUGCACACAUAAAAAACAAAAAAUAGUUAAAAUUCUUAGUAUAUAAUGGUGGCAAGUUUUAUUUCAUCUGAAAAAUCAUUAGUUGAACUAUCAGGUUUCUUGCAUUCUGGAGGGUAUCGGAGCAUUUGAGUGACAUUAAACCCCAACAAACGCCCAUAAAUUACAUGCAUCUAUCUGGGACACGAUCGUUGCCCGUCGCACUUUAUGAGUUAACCAUUGAAA